UACGUAGGCAGCAAGCGUUGUUCGGAAUUACGUGGCGUAAAGGAGUGUGUAGGCGGUUGCUGUAAGUACUGGUGUGAAAUCUCCCGGCUCAACUUGGGAGGUGCGCCGGAAACUGCAGUGCUUGAGGGGUGGGAGAGGUAAGCGGAAUUCCUGGAUGUAGCGGUGAAAUGCGUAGAUAUCAGGAGGGAACACCUGGUGGUGUAGACAGCUUACUGGACCACAUUCUGACGGCUGAGACACGAAAGCCGUGGGUAGCAAACAGG
rnacentral:rRNA from 1 species